rnacentral:misc_RNA from 1 species
UACGAUAGAAUGAGAAGUGAAAUCGAAGUUUCCCGGGCUUCUGUGACGGAGGUUUUCUUAGUCGACCUAAUCAAUCGAUUCCCCUCGGCAUAGUUGAAAUUCAAGUCUUAGNNNNNNGCGGUGAAUACCUUUCUAAAGUAAAGAUUUGGCUCGGAUGGAUCCGGAUAGGAUAUUUUCACGCCUUGGCGUCUGGUUAAGACUUCCCCCCCGUCCUUCUCCUUAGGCUGGUUGAACC